rnacentral:rRNA from 1 species
UACGGGGGGGGCAAGCGUUGUUCGGAAUUACUGGGCGUAAAGGGCGCGUAGGCGGCCUGACAAGUGGAAGGUGAAAUCCCUCGGCUUAACCGAGGAACUGCCCUCCAAACUGUUUGGCUUGAGUCCGGGAGAGGUGAGUGGAAUUCCCAGUGUAGCGGUGAAAUGCGUAGAUAUUGGGAGGAACACCAGUGGCGAAGGCGGCUCACUGGACCGGAACUGACGCUGAUGCGCGAAAGCCAGGGGAGCAAACGGG